rnacentral:rRNA from 1 species
GAAUGCGAUCAUACCAGCACUAACGCACCGGAUUCCAUCAGAACUCCGAAGCUAAGCGUGCUUGGGUGAGAGUAGUACUAGAAUGGGUGACCCCCUGGGAUGUCCUCGUGUUGCAUCCC